GACGAACGCUGGCGGCGUGCUUAACACAUGCAAGUCGAACGGAAAGGCCCUGCUUUUGUGGGGUGCUCGAGUGGCGAACGGGUGGGUAACACGUGAGUAACCUGCCCUUGACUUUGGGAUAACUUCAGGAAACUGGGGCUAAUACCGGAUAGGAGCUCCUGCUGCAUGGUGGGGGUUGGAAAGUUUCGGCGGUUGGGGAUGGACUCGCGGCUUAUCAGCUUGUUGGUGGGGUAGUGGCUUACCAAGGCUUUGACGGGUAGCCGGCCUGAGAGGGUGACCGGCCACAUUGGGACUGAGAUACGGCCCAGACUCCUACGGGAGGCAGCAGUGGGGAAUAUUGCACAAUGGGCGGAAGCCUGAUGCAGCAACGCCGCGUGCGGGAUGACGGCCUUCGGGUUGUAAACCGCUUUCGCCUGUGAUGAAGCGUGAGUGACGGUAAUGGGUAAAGAAGCACCGGCUAACUACGUG
rnacentral:rRNA from 1 species